CACGUAGGGGGCAAGCGUUGUCCGGAUUUAUUGGGCGUAAAGAGCUCGUAGGCGGCUUAGUAAGUCGGGUGUGAAGCCUCCAGGCUCAACCUGGAGACGCCACCCGAUACUGCUGUGGCUAGAGUCCGGUAGGGGAGCGUGGAAUUCCUGGUGUAGCGGUGAAAUGCGCAGAUAUCAGGAGGAACACCAGCGGCGAAGGCGGCGCUCUGGGCCGGUACUGACGCUGAGGAGCGAAAGCGUGGGGAGCAAACAGG
rnacentral:rRNA from 1 species